rnacentral:lncRNA from 1 species
CCAUUUCUUCCUCAAAUUGUUGAUAAAUGAUUCUAAACCAUUUUCUUUCUAAACCCAUUACAUUUUUUGAAUUUUUGCAACCUAAAAUCUAGAGUUUUCAUGGUAGAAUUAGGGGUUAUGGUAGAAACUAGGAAUUUCGGAAAUUUGGGGAUUUAGACCUCAAUUUGAGGUCGGAUUCCAAAACUAAUUACAUAUUCGGGCUCGGGGGUAAUUGGGUAAAAGAAUUUUGGUCUGAACCUCGAGUUUUGACCAAGCGGGCCCGGGGUCGAUUUUUUGACUUUUUGGAGAAAAAUUUGGAAAAUUUAAUUUAUGAAAAAUAAUUGAUUCCUUUAGGAAUAUUUAAUAUUAUUGAGUCAUUUUUGAAUAGAUACGAGUGGUUUGGAGGUGAUCUGUAUAUUGAUAUGUUAGUUGAAUAGACUUUCAUCUUUUUGAAAAUAUUUAGGGCCAUUUUGUAGGAAGACCGUAAUAGAUUCAACUGCACCAGUUUAGGAGAAAGCUCUUGAUGCUUUCAUUUUAUUCACACGAGCUACCUUCUACUUUCGCCAAUUCUGAUGAUUUACACACGUGCUAAUACUUAUUUUACUUUUGCAUUAUCUAGAUCAACUUGUCGUCUCGAAUAUAAAGACAAAAAUAUUCUGCUUUCUAAGAGCACAAAAACUAUUAGGGACUUAAUCCAGCUUGUAGAAUUGCAGCAGCAAGAAGAAUUACAUAUUGAUUUAGAUACUUGCACAAUAUACUUUUGAUUUGUUUAAUUUCAAUUUUACUUUUGAUGCAACUUAAAAGUUAAUCAGUUGUGUUCUUAGUUUUGCAACAUUUUGAAUCACAUUGUAUGAUAUUUGUUCAUAUUUGUUUCGCGGUCAGUGAAGAGAAUUUCUUUACGUUAAAUCAAAAACUAAUAAGGUCUUGGGCCCGGGCUCAGUCCAGGCUAUCUCCAACUAGUCUAUUAUAUCGAAGAGAGAAGAGGAGGUCGACCAAGGGCAUAAUGGUCAUUUUAAAUAUAUUAGUACAUUGUUUGCUUGUAUAGAAGAGAGAAGAGGAGGUCGACCAAGGGCAUAAUGGUCAUUUUAAAUAUAUUAGUGCAUUGUUUGCUUGUAUACUAGGCUCAAAAAGCGUAGACCCUAUGUAGAAAUAAUUUAAAAUUGUACUUGAAUUAUUAUCUAAUUAUUGUAUGAUAAAGUAUCAAACUUCGACAAGUAUUACAAAGUGAUUGGUAUCGUAAUACGAUUUCAGAAAAAUUAAAAUGCACAUAAUGCAAAAGAUAAAUAACAAUAAGGUAAUCGUGGUUCUACACAUUAUUACACAAAAGCCUAUUCUCUUUCUUCUUUCCCUAAAGGCGUAGAAAGUGUGUAAUUAGCAACAUACCAAGAAAUAUUAAAAGGAAGAAACAACAAGAAGAAAAAGUAACAAUUGGGCACGGGCAUGCACGGGUACAUCAUCUAGUUGGUUUAUAGAGUCGAAAAUGUUAACUUUUGGAGUGGGAAGUAUAAAUCGCAAUUGAUAAAUGCGACUUCUAAUUUGAGUAAAUACGUUUUAUACGCCUUAAAGCGCAUCUUUUACCUGUCGCUACUCGCUACUACAGAGAGUUUUUGUAAAGUAAAUUCUGGGCAUUUGAAAUCUUCUAACUUUUUUGGAAUAAUAAAUAAGAAACUAUUUUUAGGAUAAUGUAAGAUAUAUAGAAUUUCACACUAUUACAUAAUUUAAAAUCUAAUUGCAAGUAAUUUUGUAUAAUAAAUAUUAGUAAUGGUUAACCUGCAAAAGAUAGCAAAAAUGAUAUGUUAGAGACAGUAAAUUGCAAUUAUACUAAUACAAAAAUAUUUUACACUGUGAGAGAUCAUUUAUCAUUUGUUUGAUUGUCAUUUUUUUCUCGCUAUAGCUAAUACCGGUAUGAUUUAUAAUUCAAUUUAAAUAUUAUCUUACACUUCAUACAAUAUCGGAUAUCUAAUAUUAAUGCUAGCCAUACUGAGUAUUAUUAAUCUUGCAUAUAUAAUUAUGCACUAUAAUCCCAGUGUAACUGAUUUAUGAACUAAUCAGCUUACAAUUUUUAUUNNN